rnacentral:rRNA from 1 species
UACGUAGGUGGCAAGCGUUGUCCGGAAUCACUGGGCGUAAAGGGCGCGUAGGCGGCCUGAUAAGUAGGGGGUGAAAUCCUGCGGCUUAACCGCAGGGCUGCCUUCUAAACUGUCGGGCUAGAGCACGGUAGAGGCAGAUGGAAUUCCCGGUGUAGCGGUGGAAUGCGUAGAGAUCGGGAAGAACAUCAGUGGCGAAGGCGGUCUGCUGGGCCGUUGCUGACGCUGAGGCGCGACAGCGUGGGGAGCAAACAGG